AACUAAUGAUCAAAAGCUAGCGCCGCGGCGUCCUGCCGCAACGCUUUUGUGACCUGCUCAGCAGG
rnacentral:sRNA from 1 species